UACGUAGGGUGCAAGCGUUAUCCGGAAUUAUUGGGCGUAAAGAGCUCGUAGGCGGUUUGUCGCGUCUGCUGUGAAAACUGGAGGCUCAACCUCCAGCUUGCAGUGGGUACGGGCAAACUAGAGUGCGGUAGGGGAGAUUGGAAUUCCUGGUGUAGCGGUGGAAUGCGCAGAUAUCAGGAAGCACACCCGUGGCUAAGGCGGCUCUCUAGUACGGUACUGACGCUGAGACGCGAAAGCGUGGGGAGCGAACAGG
rnacentral:rRNA from 1 species